AACGGCCAUACCAUGCUGAAUAUACCGGUUCUCGUUAGAUCACCGAAGUCAAGCAUCAUUGGGCGCGGUCAGUAUUUGGGUGGGUGACCACCUGGGAACACCGCGUGCCGUU
rnacentral:rRNA from 2 species